UCCAGCGUUGGAGUCAGCCACGGCUUACCUGGAAGAUUGAAUGUCUACUUGGCUUUCUUCCUGUCAGCCGUGGGUGCCUCUUGCUACUGGA
ensembl:miRNA Mir3058 microRNA 3058